CAGCUCCAUGUGUGUUAUUGCCCUGAAGACCUUCCAAUGGAACAAGAGGUGGAGGUGGAAGACAGUGAUAUGGAUGACCCUGACCCUGUUAUUGAAAUUGGCAUCUUUGGGAGCUCGCUGUCAUCUCUUCACAAAACAUCCCCACGGAAAGCCAAACUUUCCCUUAGCAAGCGUGGCAACGUCCCAGAGUGCAGCCUGGAUCCCGUCAAGGAUAUCACAUGAUACUUCCUUGUCAUGUUUCCUUAGGCUCAUCUUGACUGUCCAUUUCUCAGACCUUCCUUGAUUUUGGUGACCUUGACAAUGUUGAGGAACAGUGGUCAGGCAAAUUCCAGGCUCCUUUGGAAGAAUGACAAUGCUACAGAAAAGCACAUGGAUUUGCAGCUUCGUGGACAUCACCUGUGAGGGUGACAGCUCUUUACUCUCAGUGAGUUCCCCAGAUGGAGGAAAGUGAAGCCAGGCUUACUGAGGAAAAAAAACAACCCUCAGAAAUCAAAAUCAGACAGCUAUACCCGGUCUGGCUGCCCCAGAGCGGGAAGACCUGAACCUUGGCAGGGCUGGCUGCUGUGCUGACCAGUCUGAUAUCAAGAAGAGAAGUGAUUUUCCGAUCCUGCAUCCGGUACAGCUGUGCGGACUCUGCUCUUCCUGCCAUUCCACCAAGAAAUUAAAAAGCAAUUUUCUUUUGAAGUUCUGGGGUUUUUUUGUUUUUUGUUUUUUUCAUUUAAGAUUACACUUUGAGGUCAGAAAAUGAGACAUAAGGAAUUCACAAACACACACGCAUUCGAUUCAGAAACAUUCCACCCUCCACAUCCCCAUUUUAAACUGUCCUGAGGCCCAGAUGGUUUACAGCUUGAGCCGGCUUAGGCUGGCAAGCAUUUCAGGGAUCUGGUUGACUACGUUUUCCUGAAACAGAGGUAUUUUAUGCAUUAAGCUGAUCAACACCGGGGAGAAUGGGGCACCCUAACUGCCUUUAAGUAAUAUCUUAUGAAGCUCUUUUAGGAUUAGCAGCAGAACAAAAUACACCCAGGAAUCAAGGGUAUAAAGCAAUGAAGAUUGUGUUUCACCUUGCAAUAUUGUGAGUAGUGUUGUUUAUUCAAGGCAGUGUUAAUUUUUAUAAUUUUUAAGCUUGUAUGUAUGUUUUUCUCCUCAGAUGAUUAUGGUCUGUAUCAGUUGCAGUUCAAGCAGGAAGUAGAAACCACACAGUAACUUAAACGGGGAAAGUUGAGUAUAAAGAAUUAAUAAGUAAAAUGUAGAACUGGAGUAACAAGGGAUUGGCUAGUGAGAAGUGAACUCUAAAGAAUACAAAGCAGCAGAUAGAGGGAGCCGCCACUCUCCGUCCCUGGAGCUGAGAUGGAUGCUCGUGGAAGGGCCCUCGCUUCCAGGGCUGAAAAGAUUCAGACAUGCCGAGAGGGCACAGCCAUAGCUCAGUGGGUGGCAGGGAAUUUUUGCAAGUGCUGUGGUGUUGCAACAGCAGAACUUGCUAGAAAUGGGCCUCUUUUCUUCAAAUCGAAGGAAAGACAUUUCCCCAAACUGAAGAGGACAAAAAUGAAGAAAUUCUUAGCCUUUCCCUCAAAUCAGGAGCCCCAUAGUUCUCAAGGUCAUUAUAUUGGUGAUGGGCUAUAUUAAUCACUUCUCAAAUUCAAUCGUAGUCUAACUCAUGUUUUCUGCAUAUAUUAUAAAAUGAAUU
rnacentral:lncRNA from 1 species